GCAAUAUUGUCCUCCGCUGGUUUUAAAACUUGCAAAACCUCAAAAACCUCAUCGCCAUGGCGUUUUCAUCACUGCCAUCCAACUUCUUAUCCCCUCCUUCAGACCCUUCUCCCUCACAGUCUCUCUUCUUUCUUUUAUAUAACCCAAAACCCCAUUCUUCGAGUAGAGCUGGAAAACUCAAAAUUUCUUGCUGUCAGCUGACAGUUCAAUUUGACAACGAACCCAAUCUGUUGAAGACCAAGAAGAGGAAGCCCAGGCCAAGUUUUCUCGAGCAAGUUCACAAAAAAUGGUCCCAAAAGAUGCCUUCUUUACGGGAGAAUUUCCCCUGGCAAGAACAAGAAAUCGGCGAAACAAAUCAAGAAUUUCCACAACUUUCACCCAAUGUUUCUUCCGUAGAAGAACCUGAUAAGAGUAGUCGCGCAAGCGACCCGGUUCGUGCUCAUGUAGAAAUUAAGUCGAAUUCAGCUCCUUGGGCUCAUGGAAGCGGAAAGAGGAAAGUGUUUAUCUCCGAUGGUUCGAGGAGUUCUGCAGAAAAUGUUGGAAAAGGGACUAAUGUGGUUUAUGAGCGUCCUCGAAAUGAGGAAUAUUUGGAUAGUGCUGUUACGAGCUCUGAUAAUUCGGUGAAGGAUGUAAUGAUAGAGGGUGAGAGUGAAAGGAAAUUCCGCGAAUUUGAUGAAGCCCCAAUUGGAUUACCUCCGAAAAUUGAGAAUUUGGAUGCUGUGAGUGCUAGUGUCAUGGAGGACCCGCCAGCUGUUUGUCGAAAUGCUGGCAGCAUUAAGAGUUCUGCUGGUGGAGGCGAUUUAAACAAAUUGCCAUGGAAGAGAAUGAACAGUGUUGAAGUUGUGAAGAAUGACAAAUUCAGGGAUAGGAAGACGGUGUCAGCAGAGAGGUCGAUACCUGAGCACGAGCUGAAGAGGCUUAGGAACGUGUCGUUGAGGAUGGUGGAGAGGAUCAAAGUCGGAGCAGCUGGUGUGACACAAGCAUUGGUGAAUGAAAUCCAUGACAAGUGGAAACACGAGGAGGUCGUCAAGUUGAAGUUCGAAGGGCCUCCUUCCAAGAACAUGAAGAGAACACAUGAGUUUCUUGAGAGUAGAACUGGAGGUUUGGUGAUAUGGAGAUCGGGAAGUUCGGUUGUGUUGUACAGAGGGUUGACAUACAAGUUUGAUUGUGUAAAAUCGUAUAGCCAGCAAGCAGAUGCUGGAGCAUUAGGAUCUUCCCAAGAAGAUUCUCCUAAAAGUGUCAAAUUUGAACGCGUAAAUAGAGCUUCACAGUCAUCUUCACUAUAUAGUUCAGCUUAUUUUAAGAGUUUAUCCGAAGAAGAGCAAAUGGAUUUAAGCGAGCUCAACAUUGUGUUGGAUGAGCUCGGCCCGAGGUUCAUGGACUGGACAGGUCGCGAACCAAUUCCUGUUGAUGCAGACUUACUGCCGGCUGUUGUCCCUGGAUACAAGACUCCAUACAGACUUCUACCACAUGGGAGUAGGAGAACCUUGCGCGAUAAAGGAAUGACUUUCUUACGUAGGGCAGCAAGGGCAAUGCCUCCACAUUUUGCCCUAGGGAGGAGCCGACAGCUGCAAGGUCUUGCUGUAGCCAUGGUGAAGUUGUGGGAAAAGUGUGCUAUCGCUAAAAUAGUCAUUAAGCGUGGCGUUCUCAAUACUAACAACGAAAGGAUGGCCGAAGAACUCAAGAUAUUGACUGGAGGAACACUACUUUCUAGGAACAAAGAGUUUAUUGUCUUAUACAGGGGUAACGACUUCUUGCCACCGCGCGUUUCAACUGCACUCGUAGAAAUGGAGAAGCGUACAGGCUUCCAGCAGGAUGAGGAAGAGCAGGCUCGGCAUAGAGCUGCAGCACUGAUUGACCCAAAACUCAAAGCAUCUAGGCAGCAAUUAGUUGCCGGGACCCUUGCUGAAACCGUGGCAGCAACUUCACGUUGGGGGAAACAACCUAACUCUGCAGAAACGGAGAAGAUGUUCAGAGAUGCAGCUAUUGCUAGACAGUCUUCUUUGGUCGAAUCUCUUCAGAGGAAGCUAGCUCUUGCAAAGGGGAAGAUCAGAAAUGCUGAGAAAACCUUGCAAAAAGUGCUGAAGAAUCAAGAACCAGAAGAACUACCUACUGACCUUGAGACCUUAACCGACGAGGAAAGACAAUUGUUUCGUAGGAUUGGGUCGAGCAUGAAACCUUAUUUAGUUCUAGGGAGGCGAGAAGUAUUUGAUGGUACUAUCGAGAAUAUGCACUUACAUUGGAAGUACCGCGAGCUGGUAAAGAUUUUGGUGGAACGGAAAACUUUUGCACAAGUCAGGCACAUCGCGAUCUCACUGGAGGCUGAGAGUGGUGGGGUGUUGGUAUCAGUUGAAAGAACCCCCAAAGGCUACGUUAUAUUAGUGUAUCGUGGAAAGAAUUACCGGCCCCCUCUUGCGUUUAGGCCCAAAAAUCUUCUCACGAAGAGGCAAGCAUUUGCUCGUUCUAUUGAACUUCAGCGACGUGAGGCACUGACGCACCACAUUGUGGAACUGGAGGAAAGAAUUGAGAAGAUGAAGCAGAAGCUAGAUGAUAUGAUGAGUGAAAAUAGUAAGGGAACCGAGAGGUUGGAACUGAGAGGAAAUGCUGCAUCUGCAGACAAAGAUGGCGAAGAUGUGGAGACGGUGAGAGAAGAUUUGGCCCUAUAGGCGGGCAGGCAGUCUGGCUCUAGCAACUGCCAACACUUUGUAGAAUGGAGUUGUGCAGGAUUAACACAAUCGAGCGAGAGCAAAAGAAGGCGAGCAAGACGCGACUUAUGACUUCUAGCAGCCUGGGAAGAAGGGAGAUGGUGAAUCACGGUAUUAUUUUGUCACGAGAUGAGAUGGCAAUGGCAUCUUCUGGAACAAUUCCUUGGCGAAAUGCACGACAGCCGCAGCAAGUUGGUCGAGGCGAGCGUGAUAAGUAUGAUCAGCGCCGUCCACGAGUUGCAGCUGGUGGUUCGGCACCACCUUCCCGAUCUCGUAUGCAUCGUCCAGAGCCACGUCGUUGUCAGCCGUACCAUGAACCGUCAGCACCCUGCGCAGGCGUUUUCGACAAUUAAAUCACUUCUAAUUCUCUGAAUUUCUACAUCUAUUAUCUAUUAUAGAGAAUUUCGUAGAUAUACAAAUAUAAGAGAUCCUACUUACUUGCAUCUGGGGUCAAUCGUAAGCCAUUCUUCAUGAAUGUUAGUAUCGACUUGCUUACUCUUAUUCUCCUUUGUCACUUCAUAAUCCGAAGAUGCUGAAUCAUCAAAUGAUUUAAGAUUUAGGUCAUGGUUAUUACAGUUACAA